GAUGAAGAACGUAGCGAAAUGCGAUAAGUAAUAUGAAUUGCAGAAUUCAGUGAAUCAUCGAAUCUUUGAACGCACAUUGCGCCCGCCAGUAUUCUGGCGGGCAUGCCUGUUCGAGCGUCAUUUCAACCAUCAAGCCCCCGGCUUGUGUUGGGGACCUGCGGCUGCCGCAGGCCCUGAAAACCAGUGGCGGGCUCGCUAGUCACUCCGAGCGUAGUAAUACAUCUCGCUCAGGGCGUGCUGCGGGUUCCGGCCGUUAAAAAGCCUUAUUUACCCAAGGUUGACCUCGGAUCAGGUAGGAAGACCCGCUGAACUUAAGCAUAUCAAUAAGCGGAGGA
rnacentral:misc_RNA from 1 species